rnacentral:tRNA from 1 species
GUGAGGGUUCAAGUCCCUCUAUCCCCAAAAAGGACUCUUGGGAUCCGAUUC